rnacentral:rRNA from 1 species
GGGGGGGCAAGCGUUGUUCGGAUUUACUGGGCGUAAAGGGCGCGUAGGCGGCCACCGCAAGUCGACUGUGAAAUCUCCGGGCUUAACCCGGAAAGGUCAGCCGAUACUGCGGGGCUAGAGUGCAGAAGGGGCAACUGGAAUUCUCGGUGUAGCGGUGAAAUGCGUAGAUAUCGAGAGGAACACCUGCGGCGAAGGCGGGUUGCUGGGCUGACACUGACGCUGAUGCGCGAAAGCUAGGGGAGCGAACGGGAUUAGAUACCCCGGUAGUCCUAGCCUUAAACGAUGAAUGCUUGGUGUCUGGGGUUUUAUAGUCCCCGGGUGCCGUCGCUAACGCUUUAAGCAUUCCGCCUGGGGAGUACGGUCGCAAGACUG